UCAGAUGUAGUCAAUGAGUAUGUAUUGGAAGUUCAUGAUCGAGGACUAAUUUGCCAGAAAUAUGUUCAGUAGGUCAGACUCAUGUAUGGCUGAAGUAAGAUCAGAGUGAGGCAAAGAGCAAGGAGUACACAAAACUUUUUUUAACUGUUUUUUAAAGCAAGUCUAAUAUCGAUUUCUGUAUGGCUGAAAUAAAAUCAGGAGUCUGUGAGUUUGUAUAGAAAGUUCAAGAUUAAGUACUCUUGGGCCAGAAAUAUGUUCAGUAGGUCAAAUGUAGACUUCUAGAUGGCUGAUGUGACAUCGAAAGCUUCAAUGAAUAUGUAUAAAAACUUCAGUGUUGAAUACUCUUUGGCCAUAUACAUUUUCAGUGGGUCAAAUACGGACUACUAUCUGGCUUGUCUAACAUCAGAUGGAGUCAAUAAUGUAUAAUGUAUUAUUAUUGUAUGUAUAGGAAAUUCAUGAUCGAGGACUAAUUUGCCAGAAAUAUGUUCAGUAGAUCUAAUAUGGACUUCUGUGGGUGAAUUAACAAAAGAAGGAGUCAAUAGUAAUGUAUGAAAUGUUCAAAAGUUCAAAGUGAAAGUUGAAGACUGAAUAUUUUUUGGCCAUAAAUAUGUCCUUUAGGUCAAAUAUGCAAAACUCUAUGGCUGACGUAUAAGGAGUCAAUGAGUAUGUAUAGAAAGUUCAUGAGCAAGGACAAAGUUACAAGAGAUAUGUUCUGUAGGUCAAACUGUAGCUCAUGUAUGGCUGAAGUAACAUCAGAGUGAGGCAAUGAGCAUGUAUAGAAAGUUCAUGAUUGAGGACUCUUGGGACAGAAAUAUGUUCAGUAGAUCAGAUAUUGACUUCUGUCUGCCUGAUCCAACAACAGAAGGAGCCAACGAGUCUGUAUAGGAAUUUCAUUGUUGAGGACUUAUUUGGCAGAAAUUUGUUCAGUAGGUCAAAAUGGGUUCAUAUAUGGCUGAAGUAACAUCAGAGUGAAUCAAUGAAUAUGAAUUGAAAGUUCAAGAUUGAAUGCUCCUGGGACAGAAAUAUGUUCAUUUGGUCAAAUAAGGACCACUGUAUGACUAAUGUGAUAUCAGAAGGAGUCAGUAAGUAAAUAUAAAAAGUUCAAGAUCGAGUAGUCUUUGGCCAGAAAUAUGUCCCUUAGGUCAAAUAUGCAAUACUGUAUGGCUUAUCUAACAUCAGAUGGAGUCAAUGAGUAUGUAUUGGAAGUUCAUGAUCGAGGACUAAUUUGCCAGAAAUAUGUUCAGUAGGUCAGACUCAUGUAUGGCUGAAGUAAGAUCAGAGUGAGGCAAAGAGCAAGGAGUAUACAAAACUUAUGAUUGAGGACUCUGGGGACAAUUUUUUUUUAAAGCAAUUCUAAUAUCGAUUUCUGUAUGGCUGAAAUAAAAUCAGGAGUCUGUGAGUUUGUAUAGAAAGUUCAAGAUUAAGUACUCUUGGGCCAGAAAUAUGUUCAGUAGGUCAAAUGUAGACUUCUAGAUGGCUGAUGUGACAUCGAAAGCUUCAAUGAAUAUGUAUAAAAACUUCAGUGUUGAAUACUCUUUGGCCAUAUACAUUUUCAGUGGGUCAAAUACGGACUACUAUCUGGCUUGUCUAACAUCAGAUGGAGUCAAUAAUGUAUAAUGUAUUAUUAUUGUAUGUAUAGGAAAUUCAUGAUCGAGGACUAAUUUGCCAGAAAUAUGUUCAGUAGAUCUAAUAUGGACUUCUGUGGGUGAAUUAGCAAAAGAAGUAGUCAAUAGUAAUGUAUGAAAUGUUCAAAAGUUCAAAGUGAAAGUUCAAGACUGAAUAUUUUUUGGCCAUAAAUAUGUCCUUUAGGUCAAAUAUGCAAAACUCUAUGGCUGACGUAUAAGGAGUCAAUGAGUAUGUAUAGAAAGUUCAUGAGCAAGGACAAAGUUACAAGAGAUAUGUUCUGUAGGUCAAACUGUAGCUCAUGUAUGGUUGAAGUAACAUCAGAGUGAGGCAAAGAGUAUGUAUACAAAAUACAUGAUCACUUGGGACAAAAUCUAAUUUUAAGUAGGUCUAAUAUGGACUUCUGUAUGGCUGAAAUAAAUUCAGAAGGAGUCAAUGAGUCAGUUUAGAAAGUUCAAGAUUGAGGUCUAAUUUGCCAGAAAUAUGUUCAGUAGGUCAAACAUGGCCUCAUGUAUGGCUGAAGUAACAUCAGAGUGAGGCAAUGAGCAUGUAUAGAAAGUUCAUGAUUGAGUACUUUUGAGACAGAAAUAUGUUCAGUAGAUCAGAUAUUGACUUCUGUCUGCCUGAUCCAACAACAGAAGGAGCCAACGAGUCUGUAUAGGAAUUUCAUUGUUGAGGACUUAUUUGGCAGAAAUUUGUUCAGCAGGUCAAAAUGGGUUCAUAUAUGGCUGAAGUAACAUCAGAGUGAAUCAAUGAAUAUGAAUUGAAAGUUCAAGAUUGAAUACUCCUGGGACAGAAAUAUGUUCAUUUGGUCAAAUAUGGACCACUGUAUGACUAAUGUGAUAUCAGAAGGAGUCAGUAAGUAAAUAUAAAAAGUUCAAGAUCGAGUAGUCUUUGGCCAGAAAUAUGUCCCUUAGGUCAAAUAUGCAGUACUGUAUGGCUUAUCUAACAUCAGAUGUAGUCAAUGAGUAUGUAUUGGAAGUUCAUGAUCGAGGACUAAUUUGCCAGAAAUACGUUAAACAGCUCAAACGCGGACUUCUUUAUAGCUGAAUUUGUAAUUUGUAUUAACAGUUCAUGAUCGAGGACUAAGUUGUCAGAAAUAUGUUCAGUAGGUCAAACAUGGGCUCAUGUAUGGCUAAAGUAACAUCAAAGUGAGGCAAAGAGCAAAAGUAUGAAAAAACUCGUGAUCGAGGACUCUGAGGACAUUUUUUUUUAAAGUAGGUCUAAUAUCGAUUUCUGUAUGGCUGAAAUAAAAUCAGUAGUCCGUGAGUUUGUUUAGAAAGUUCAAGAUUGCGUACUCUUGGGCCAGAAAUAUGUUCAGUAGGACAAAUAUAGACUUCUAUCUGGCUGAAGUGACAUCAGAAGGUGUCAUUGAGUAUAUAAAAAAUCUUCAGUGUUGAAUAAUCUUUUGUCCAGAAGUAUGUUCAGUCAGUCAAAUAUGGACUUCUGAGUGGGUGAAUUAACAUCAGAAGGAGUCAAUAGUAAUGUAUGACACAUUCAAAAGUUCAAGAUUGAGUACUCUUUGGCCAGAAAUAUGUCCUUCAGGUCAAAUAUGCAUUACCCUAUGGCAGACAUAACAUCAGAAGGAGUCAGUGAGUAUGUUUAAAAAGUUCAUGAGCAAGGACAAAUAUACCAGAGAUAUGUUCUGUAGGUCAAACAUAAGCUCAUGUAUGGAUGAAGUAACAUCAGAGUGAGGCAAAGAGUAUGUAUACAAAAUACAUGAUCACUUGGGACAAAAUCUAAUUUUAAGUAGGUCUAAUAUGGACUUCUGUAUGGCUGAAAUAAAUUCAGAAGGAGUCAAUGAGUCAGUUUAGAAAGUUCAAGAUUGAGGUCUAAUUUGCCAGAAAUAUGUUCAGUAGGUCAAACAUGGCCUCAUGUAUGGCUGAAGUAACAUCAGAGUGAGGCAAUGAGCAUUAUUAGAAAGUUCAUGAUUGAGGACUCUUGGGACAGAAAUAUGUUCAGUAGGUCAAAUAUAGACUUCUAUAUGGCUGAGUUACAUCAGAAGGCGUCAUUGAGUAUAUA